CAGUCGCCGCGGUAAUACGAAGGGCGCAAGCGUUAUCCGGAAUUAUUGGGCGUAAAGAGCUCGUAGGCGGUUUGUCGCGUCUGCCGUGAAAGUCCGGGGCUCAACCCCGGAUCUGCGGUGGGUACGGGCAGACUAGAGUGAUGCAGGGGAGACUGGAAUUCCUGGUGUAGCGGUGAAAUGCGCAGAUAUCAGGAGGAACACCGAUGGCGAAGGCAGGUCUCUGGGCAUUAACUGACGCUGAGGAGCGAAAGCAUGGGGAGCGAACAGGAUUAGAUACCCCUGUAGUCCCUGUCUCUUAUAC
rnacentral:rRNA from 1 species